rnacentral:rRNA from 1 species
UAGGGAAUCUUCCGCAAUGGGCGAAAGCCUGACGGAGCAACGCCGCGUGAGUGAUGAAGGUCUUCGGAUCGUAAAACUCUGUUAUUAGGGAAGAACAAAUGUGUAAGUAACUAUGCACGUCUUGACGGUACCUAAUCAGAAAGCCACGGCUAACUACGUGCCAGCAGCCGCGGUAAUACGUAGGUGGCAAGCGUUAUCCGGAAUUAUUGGGCGUAAAGCGCGCGUAGGCGGUUUUUUAAGUCUGAUGUGAAAGCCCACGGCUCAACCGUGGAGGGUCAUUGGAAACUGGAAAACUUGAGUGCAGAAGAGGAAAGUGGAAUUCCAUGUGUAGCGGUGAAAUGCGCAGAGAUAUGGAGGAACACCAGUGGCGAAGGCGACUCUCUGGUCUGUAACUGACGCUGAGGCUCGAAAGCGUGGGGAGCGAACAGG